UACGGAGGGUGCGAGCGUUAUCCGGAAUUAUUGGGCGUAAAGCGUCCGCAGGUGGUUAAUCAAGUCUGCUGUCAAAGCACGAGGCUCAACUUCGUAAAGGCAGUGGAAACUGAUUGACUUGAGUUUGGUAGGGGUAGAGGGAAUUCCCAGUGUAGCGGUGAAAUGCGUAGAUAUUGGGAAGAACACCGGUGGCGAAAGCGCUCUACUGGGCCUGAACUGACACUGAGGGACGAAAGCUAGGGGAGCGAAAGGG
rnacentral:rRNA from 1 species